rnacentral:misc_RNA from 1 species
UUUUCUACGUUUCCAACGAGUGAUUUAUGACGUUUUACAUACUCGUUUUAAGCUGGCAACACUGAACGAGAUCCAAAUUUAAAUUCGAAUUUAAACAAUAUGGUGGUGUUCGGUUUCGCGGCGAAGAAUACCGUCUUCAGUUUUAGUAGAGUUUUGACCGAAAUUAGAAAUAUUUCUUUCAAGUCUUGGUUUGCUAAUACCAAAGAACCUUGUUUGAAGAAUACUUUGAACGCAAAUCCUUCUCGUCCAAAGAAACCUUUAACGUCUUAUAUGCUGUUUAUUAAAGAGAAGAGAAAUGAAAUGUUCGGUAAUAACUCGAAAGUCAGUGGUAAGGAUCAAAUAAAAAUUUUAAGUGAGAAGUGGAGGUCAUUAAGCGAGGCUGAAAAACAGAUGUACAUCAAAAAGUACCAAGAAAGUGCAAUCGAAUAUACGAAACAGCACGAGGCAUAUAUGAAUUCGUUAACUAAAGAAGAACAUCAAGCACUUGAGGACAAGUUACAAAUGAGGAAAGAAUCCCAAAAACGCCUUAAAUCUGCUCUUCAAAAAUUAGACAAGCCAGUUGGUCCCAGAUCACCUUACAAUUUUUUCAUAGCCGAAAGGGCUUCCAUGACUUUCGGUACUAAAGCAAAUGAAACACUAAAGAAAAUAGGUCAAGAAUGGAAAGACUUACCAGAAGAAAGGAAAGAGUAAUAUCUACUGAAAAUCCAAGCAGGUUUUCAUAUGAAAUAGUGUAAAUAUCCAAAUGCUGGAGUUCUUUGGACUAUAUUUUGGCUCGCAUUUAAUUAUCAGAACUAAGAGUACGUGACUAGACAGAUAUUGAAAUAUUUUUGAGUAGAAGAUGCUGCUUUUCACCUUACUCUAAGCCAGCGAUUUUCAAAAUGGCCACUACGACCUCUUGGUAGAAGACAAUGACUCAAGGGGGAUGAAAAUUCAUUUUCAAACAAAGAAUUAUUUUUUUUGAACAGCCUGCCAUUAAUUAUUUUUAUGUUAAUUAAUCAAGUACUUUAAAAACUUUAAUUUAUGAAACUUUUGGACAAUCAUGUUCUUUGUUUAUAAAAUUAUUGAAAUUUAAUUUUCAGUGUUUUUGACUUGUUUUAUGGAGGUGCUAACAAAAUACAUGUAAAAGUUUGAAAAAAUUCAAAAACAUCACUAAGCCUUUUGUUUCAUGCAGUUUCAAUAUAAUAAAAUUGGUUGAUAUUCAGCAUUCAGCAAAAGUAACAUCCAAAUGAGUAUCUGGCCAAAAAAA